AAAAAGGAGAAGUGAAUUUGGAAAACUACUUUAUGAAUAUAAACCCUCUCUUUGACGAAAAGGUUGCUUUUCCCAGCUUGGAGGAGAUGGAGCUUUCACACUUGGAUAACUUGCAGCUGAAAUGGCACAACCAAAAACUCCAUGGGGAAUCCUUUUGCAAACUAAAAGUAGUGACAGUCGAAUCCUGUGAAAAGUUAUUGACUAUUGUUGCAUCUAAUACUCAAGGAAAUCUGAGCUUUUGCAAU